rnacentral:rRNA from 1 species
UACGUAGGGGGCAAGCGUUGUCCGGAUUUAUUGGGCGUAAAGCGCGCGCAGGCGGCUCGUCAAGCCUGACGUGAAAGCCCCCGGCUCAACCGGGGAGGGCCGUCGGGGACUGGCGGGCUUGAGGUCGGCAGGGGUUGGUGGAAUUCCCGGUGUAGUGGUGAAAUGCGUAGAGAUCGGGAGGAACACCCGUGGCGAAGGCGGCCAACUGGGCCGGACCUGACGCUGAGGCGCGAAGGCGUGGGGAGCGAACGGGAUUAGAUACCCGGUACGUCCGAAGACCAAGGUCUCCUGCUCCUGAUCA